GACACCAUCUCCUAGUGGUUAUGGAGGGAGUUUACUACAUGUAGAUGUGUACUGCUCCUGCACUUGUGCUCGUGGGUUCGAAUCCCACUGGUGUCU